AGAGUUUGAUCCUGGCUCAGAUUGAACGCUGGCGGCAGGCCUAACACAUGCAAGUCGAGCGGAUGAGAAGAGCUUGCUCUUCGAUUCAGCGGCGGACGGGUGAGUAAUACCUAGGAAUCUGCCUGGUAGUGGGGGACAACGUUUCGAAAGGAACGCUAAUACCGCAUACGUUCUACGGGAGAAAGCAGGGGACCUUCGGGCCUUGCGCUAUCAGAUGAGCCUAGGUCGGAUUAGCUAGUUGGUGAGGUAAUGGCUCACCAAGGCGACGAUCCGUAACUGGUCUGAGAGGAUGAUCAGUCACACUGGAACUGAGACACGGUCCAGACUCCUACGGGAGGCAGCAGUGGGGAAUAUUGGACAAUGGGCGAAAGCCUGAUCCAGCCAUGCCGCGUGUGUGAAGAAGGUCUUCGGAUUGUAAAGCACUUUAAGUUGGGAGGAGGGGCAGUAAGCUAAUACCUUGCUGUUUUGACGUU
rnacentral:rRNA from 1 species